UGGUGGGUAGUUUGACUGGGGCGGUCUCCUCCUAAAGAGUAACGGAGGAGCACGAAGGUCAGCUAAUCCUGGUCGGACAUCAGGAGGUUAGUGCAAUGGCAUAAGCUGGCUUGACUGCGAGCGUGACGGCGCGAGCAGGUGCGAAAGCAGGUCAUAGUGAUCCGGUGGUUCUGAAUGGAAGGGCCAUCGCUCAACGGAUAAAAGGUACUCCGGGGAUAACAGGCUGAUACCGCCCAAGAGUUCAUAUCGACGGCGGUGUUUGGCACCUCGAUGUCGGCUCAUCACAUCCUGGGGCUGAAGUAGGUCCCAAGGGUAUGGCUGUUCGCCAUUUAAAGUGGUACGCGAGCUGGGUUUAGAACGUCGUGAGACAGUUCGGUCCCUAUCUGCCGUGGGCGCUGGAGAACUGAGGGGGGCUGCUCCUAGUACGAGAGGACCGGAGUGGACGCAUCACUGGUGUUCGGGUUGUCAUGCCAAUGGCACUGCCCGGUAGCUAAAUGCGGAAGAGAUAAGUGCUGAAAGCAUCUAAGCACGAAACUUGCCCCGAGAUGAGUUCUCCCUGACUCCUUGAGAGUCCUGAAGGAACGUUGAAGACGACGACGUUGAUAGGCCGGGUGUGUAAGCGCAGCGAUGCGUUGAGCUAACCGGUACUAAUGAACCGUGAGG
rnacentral:rRNA from 1 species